CAUAUACUCCCUCCGUUCGGAAUUAAAAUAGAUGUAUCUAGACGUAUUUUAGUUCUAGAUACAUCCAUUUCCGAGACAAGUAAUUCCGAAUGGAGGGAGUAUUUA
rnacentral:pre_miRNA from 1 species